GUCCUCGGUGGCUCAGUCGGUUAGAGCGUCUGCCAUGUAAACAGAGGGUUCCGGGUUCGAAUCCCAGUCGGGACA